GGGGGGUUCUCCCUUGUGACAGGACAUAUAUGGAAAUUUGAAUGGCGCACAUUCACCUCUGAUUCACCAGCCAACACCAGCGCCCCCCAUUAGGAGCUGGACCGCGCCGAGGCAGCGUCACGGCUUAAAAGGCAGACGAGCUGAGAAGUGGGAGAUGGAUGGAGCCUAUAGUGAAGUUUGCAGGAGGUGUUGAGGAGAGGAGCGCUGGUAAAUCCUGGCCAGGGAGAGACGGCUGUGCAAGGCUUCAUAUCACAUCACAGAUCCAGCAAUAACAUUCAUGAAUAUUCCUCCUUUUCACCAUUCCUUGUCGAUCCCUCACAAGGUCACGGUUGGCCAUCUGUGCUGCGUCCAGGCUUUGAAGCCCGCCAGCGAAAUUGUUACAGCAGCAAAUAGAAUUGUUUUUCUUUCAACACAGAAAUGCAGAUUUUUAAUGUCAAGGCCAGUUUGAUAUAUUUGCAGCAGACAAGUCUAAAGGACAGCGGAGCAUAAAAGGAUUGUUGAGAUUACGAGUUUGACGUUGGAAUCUUUAAAAUGUUUUAUGGUGCUUCAAAAUAGCGCUCUGUAGACUCCUCGUCUUUUUCUGGCAUGCUGUGAGAGAUGUGAAAGAAGUCUGUAUUUCUGAAGGCUAUUGAGUUCUAAAAAACCUUACAAAAAUUAAAUAAAUGGCUAUUUGCUGUAAA